CAGUCGCCGCGGUAAUGCGUAGGUGGCAAGCGUUGUCCGGAAUUAUUGGGCGUAAAGGGCUCGCAGGCGGUUUCUUAAGUCUGAUGUGAAAGCCCCCGGCUCAACCGGGGAGGGUCAUUGGAAACUGGGAAACUCGAGUGCAGAAGAGGAGAGUGGAAUUCCACGUGUAGCGGUGAAAUGCGUAGAGAUGUGGAGGAACACCAGUGGCGAAGGCGACUCUCUGGUCUGUAACUGACGCUGAGGAGCGAAAGCGUGGGGAGCGAACAGGAUUAGAUACCCCCGUAGUCCCUGUCUCUUAUAA
rnacentral:rRNA from 1 species